rnacentral:rRNA from 1 species
GACGAACGCUGGCGGCGUGCUUAACACAUGCAAGUCGAACGGUGACGGAGGAGCUUGCUCCUCCUGAUCAGUGGCGAACGGGUGAGUAACACGUGAGCAAUCUGCCCCUGACUCUGGGAUAACUGCGGGAAACUGUAGCUAAUACCGGAUACGACGCGCGAAGGCAUCUUCUGCGCGUGGAAAGAAUUUCGAUCAGGGAUGAGCUCGCGGCCUAUCAGCUUGUUGGUGAGGUAAUGGCUCACCAAGGCGACGACGGGUAGCCGGCCUGAGAGGGUGACCGGGCACACGGGGACUGCGACACGGCCCAGACUCCUACGGGAGGCAGCAGUGGGGAAUAUUGCACAAUGGGCGCAAGCCUGAUGCAGCAACGCCGCGUGAGGGACGACGGCCUUCGGGUUGUAAACCUCUUUUGGCAGGGAAGAAGCGAAAGUGACGGUACCUGCAGAAAAAGCACCGGCUAACUACGUG